UUAGGCCAAAGGCGUGGACACGUGCGAGGAGUGGGCCGCAAAUUGAAGGGGUCGGGGUCGGGGUCAUCAUCUACCCAACACUCUCACUUCAGCGAGUCUCAAGUUCCUCCUCAUCAUUCAAGAGAAUAUAUAGAAAAAUUGGAGAAUAAUCUACAGAAAUUGACUGAUCAAGUUAAUUUCUUAACUCAAUAUUUUGUACCUUCAUUUCGUCCACCAAACGUUCAGAUGCCGUCUGUGCCUGAUAGUGACAAUAUUUCUAGGGCUUCGUCUUCUCAACCUCCAGCUCCAACUCAUCCUUCUAUGUACGGGGCAGCGCUGUCUCAACAUAUGGUACCUCCAUAUAUGUACGGAGCAACACCUUAUCCGUGUCCGAUUCCACCGUCCUCCCAGCCAUCGUAUCCCUACAUGUAUGGAGCUGGAUCGUCCACAUUACCUCCCCAAUAUCCUUGGCCGAUGCCGCCUCCGCAGCAAUCACAACCACAGCCACCGCAACAACCACAACAAGAAGACAAUAGGGAGGAGGACGAUGCAGCUGAUUUAGGAGACUAGGUUUAUUUUAUUAUUAAUUAUUGUUAAAUUUUAUGAACAAUAUGAAUAUUUGCUAUGUUAAUGUAUUAUGAAUAUGUACAAUUGUUAUUUUAAUUAACUAAUUUGAAUAUUUAAUAUAAUAUUUUUAUUU